AUACGGAGGGUGCAAGCGUUGUUCGGAAUUACUGGGCGUAAAGCGCGCGUAGGUGGUCUGUUAUGUCAGAUGUGAAAGUCCACGGCUCAACCGUGGAAGUGCAUUUGAAACUGGCAGACUUGAGUACUGGAGGGGGUAGUGGAAUUCCCGGUGUAGAGGUGAAAUUCGUAGAUAUCGGGAGGAAUACCGGUGGCGAAGGCGACUACCUGGCCAGAUACUGACACUGAGGUGCGAAAGCGUGGGGAGCAAACAGGAUUAGAAACCCCUGUAGUCC
rnacentral:rRNA from 1 species